ACUUACCAAUGGCUUUUACACACUAGGCUGGCUAGUUUUUUGUUUUUUGUUUGUUUUUUGGUUUUUUUUAAUGCCAGCUUGACACAAACUAGAGUCAUUUUGGAAAAGGGAAUCUUAACUGAAAAAAUGCUUGGCCUGUAGAGAAUUUCUCAUCAUCCGUAUUCAGCAGGAAGAAGCUAUGGAGUGUGAUCAGCCCAAUUCCCUACGUGUCUGUAACUCAAUAAGCACUGCUGCUUGGAAGGUCUGUGUGACAGGAUCCUCGUUAUCCCUUGAAGCUGUGCUCCAAACUCUAUGCAGACACUGGGAUGGAGAGGCACAUGAACAACUCCUGGGGGGUCAACUGCACGGACAGGUCACUUCCCACCCAGGCCUCAACCCAGAAGGUCCCUAAAGUUAAUAAAGCCUUUAGAUAGAAACCCCCUCCUAAUGGGAAUUCUGCCUACCUCUACCUAUACAAUAAAUGAA